UUUUUCCUUUUAAUUGAGUGCUACUGCAGUGUUUGGUUUAGCACAGUGUUUGUUUUAGUGUUCCUGCUCCAGGAAUUGAGCAAGAAUUUUAGUAAGCUUAGCUGGUGUGAGACACACAUGUCCAUAAGUUUUUGCCAUGAAGUUACAGGCCGUCCUCUUUUUGUUGGAGCAUCUUUACCAGUUUGGACACCACCUUCAUUUCUGGGGGCAGCUGUAUCUCCAGCUCUUAACAGCCCAGCACAGCUAUGUAUCUCCUUAAAGGAAGGGAGGGUACUUGUGCAGAGAUGUUCUUGUCUGAGGUAUGCUGCUUCCUACAAUUCACCUUUAAUUUAAUUUUUUUAUUCUCAGUACCCUGCUGUUUCUCCUUAUGUCAGACACCAGUGAUCAAUUUAUUUCCAUAUCUCCAUAAAUACAUAUUUCUCAACAGACUCCUGAAAUAAUUCUCCUCUUACCUUAAAAGAAUGAUCGGGUACAUGUGCCUAGACAAGUGUGUGACACUUCAGAUUAAAGCACAAACCUUCAGGGACUACUGAGAGACUUAAUUUAUCAGUUGAUUACUGCACAGCUGCCAUCAUGCACUAUUUCUUCUUAUAGGAAACAUCUGGAACUUGCUGUUGAUGAGAUGAGAGUAGUUAACUCUUGUAAAUCAGAUAAGCCAGAAGAUUACAAAUGAAGCCUGUCAUGUUUGCGUGAUGGCACAUUCUCGCCACUUGCCAGGAUUCCAGGACUUCCAAUGAAGAUGCAGUUGAAGUUCUCCCUUCCCUCGAGGUGUAUGAAAUCAUUAAACUGACUUGUCUACGUGAUGUGAAGAAGGGAAAUGUGCAACUGGGAAGAGAAGUGAUGUCCCAGCAGGGCAAGCACAUGCACGUUUGGCCUCUGCUUGUCCUCUGUGUUGCAGAAGGUGAACAAACUUCUCAUUCUCUGGAGCCCAAGGAUACAAGAAGCACUAGGGUUGUGACAUUUCUUCUCCAGCCUUGCUUAGGAGCUACAAAAUGGAGCAGCCAGAAAAUCAGAUCUUUUUCCUACAUUUUGCUGCAAGUUCUCACAAGGAGCCCUCUCCGCUUUCCUGCUGGAAUCUGCUCUUCUCUGCCCACUGGAGGAAGACUAGCAAGACAGCUGUUAUGAUGUUCUGUCACUCUGUCUCCUUCUGCAGGCUGUGGUGACAGUAACAGAGUGGAGCAUAAUCUCUGAAGCCAGCAGCAACAAAAUCUAAAUGGCCAGUAUCACAGGACUAAGUUAUAAAAGUUUUUUUAACUCAGGAGAAGGAAAGGCUAAGUUGUACAAACCUUUAGUUUAGAAUUAGAUAGAAAUUGAACAUUCCUUAAAUGUUGCCUCAUGGAGAGCUGUGCAGGUAAAUCAAGUCAGCUUUUUUCUCCCUAUUUUCUCCUCCAGUUUCCCAGAGCUGAUUCCCCACUUCUUUGGCCACAAGUGCUUUUUUGGAGAUGCACUGAAAGGCUGCCACAGGUCCUUCUUUUCUUUCAUUUCGAUUCACGUGAUGCUUUUUAGGAUAUGCAGGUUCCCAGUCCCUGUGAUGCCUUGGGAAACCUGCCCUGGAACAGAGACUACAUGGAGCUGAAGAAUAAAGCAGAUGUUUCUGCCUUUUUUGAGUUUCUUCUUCUAUCUGUUGAUGAUGCUUACCGUAUCCCCAGUUUACUGGAGAAGGGAAGAGUUUGAUUUCAAAUGUGGAGAACCAGACUUGGACAAGCAACCUCCAGAGAACAUCCUAGGUAAGCAGGGAUAUUUACCUUUCCUGAGAUCUGGAGAGGAUCCAAGAGCAUAAAGCUGUGGAUUUUCCCUGGUUCUAUAGGAUGAUGGUAGCAGGGGCUUUCUGUCCUUCCCAAGUGGAGGAAUCAGCUGCCUGAGUGGUGCUUCUGAGGUGGUUGAGAAGGGGAAGCUUUGAGCCCUUCAAGACCACAUAGAAAGCUUUUCCUGACAAAAUGAUCCUGUCUCAAUAUACCAGGGCAAUUCAAUCUGUUUUCACCAAAAUCCACUUUCCAUCACGCUAAAUGCCCCAGAUGAUGUACUCUACAUGGAUUUAUGGUGGAUUAAACAUGAUGCACUGCUGGGAUAUGACACUGCAAUUCCAUUGAACAUAACGAUGA